rnacentral:rRNA from 1 species
AGUGAACGCUGGCGGUAGGCCUAACACAUGCAAGUCGAACGGCAGCACAGUAAGAGCUUGCUCUUACGGGUGGCGAGUGGCGGACGGGUGAGGAAUACAUCGGAAUCUACUUUUUCGUGGGGGAUAACGUAGGGAAACUUACGCUAAUACCGCAUACGACCUACGGGUGAAAGCAGGGGAUCUUCGGACCUUGCGCGAUUGAAUGAGCCGAUGUCGGAUUAGCUAGUUGGCGGGGUAAAGGCCCACCAAGGCGACGAUCCGUAGCUGGUCUGAGAGGAUGAUCAGAAACACUGGAACUGAGACACGGUCCAGACGCCUACGGGAGGCAGCAGUGGGGAAUAUUGGACAAUGGGAGCAAGCCUGAUCCAGACAUACCGCGUGAGAGAAGAAGGCAUUCGGGUUGGAAAGCCCUUUUGUUGGGAAAGAAAAGAAGCAGGUUAAAACCCCGAUGUUAUGAAGGUAACCAAAGAAUAAGCACCGGCUAACUUCGUG